GGAAAUAAAAUAUUUUUUUUCCUUAAAUGUAGUAUAUUGUAAGUGAAGCCUAAUCUGUAGCAAAAUCCAAGUUUCUCUUUUUUUUUUUUUUUUUUUUUUAACUGUUUACAUUUCUUAUUGAGCAAUUGACACUUGCUCAUGCUGUGUUUUUUUUCCUGUAGUUUUUGUUUUGUUUUGUUUUGGUUGCUAAGUUUGAAAACUAGGAAACUUUUUUUUUUUUUUUGUGGGAGAGAGGGAGAAGCCCCUGGAAUUCAUUCAGGGCACAACUUUUCAGCAAAGUACUAAUGAUUUCCAGAUAUUUUAGUUUAGUGACAGUGAGAUGUUCGACUUGCAGGAAGUCCUGAGUGGUUGUCACUUUUAAGUUACUUUUUUUCAGUUAGUGUCUGAAGUUAGGCACCUAAAAUUAGACAUGUUCCAAACUCCAGCUUCCAGAGAUAUUUGCUGUAGAUGUAAGGUGCUUGUAACACAGGCAUAACUCAACAGCUGGCUACAUUCUUUUCUUCUUGCAUGGUUCAAGAUCCAAAAUAAAUGAGUGUAAUGCUGGAGUAUACUGCAAAUUCUGAGAAGAGAAAAAAAAAAAAAAGGGGAAAGGAAGAACAGCCACAACAGGAUAUUGUAGCUGUACACGUUUUAUUGGUGGCUUCUCUUCCUGCCAAGGUUCUGAAGGGAUAAAAAAAUAAGUCUGCAGCCCACAUAAAUGAAGGCGUUGUUACUGGGCAUUUCGGAGAUGCACAGCUACUUAGGGAAGAGCACAAGAAGAGUUGAGGUUUGCAACACCUGCCUGCAGAAGCAGGAAGCUGGUGGUGUUUGACAGCACCCGGGACAGAGAAGCAUUGUUACCUGCGUCUCUUCCACACGUACCGGGCAGUAAAUACACAGGCACAUUGUUUUCUUUUUUUUUUUUUUUUUUUUCCCCCCGACUCUAUUUCAAGCACUUGAAGUGGGCUUAGUUUAUUGCAGAACACCUGCUUCUGAAAUAUACCAUUUUAAGCUGGCUUUAAGUGGUAAACCAAAGAGUGGAGCACCAGGAAUUGUGGGUCAUUUUUGGCAAUCCUGCCUCUUACAGUGAAGUGGAAGUCCUGUAUCAUGGUCCUGAGACUCCUUUCUCCUUCUGUUAAUGCAUGGAGCAUUGCUACUGUUCAUCUUCCUAAGUCUACAGUGUGCAUUUCUGUGGCUAAGUUUAUUCAUCUCCAUUACUUUUGUAGGCAGUAGAAGGACCUGGUUCAGACUUGUAUUUUAGGACUCUAUGAAUUGCAACCUAAAAUUCCCUUUAUUCCCCAUUAACAAUAAAGGAAUUUUGAUGGGCUGGCUCCAAUACUGACAUCGGUGUUUGGAAAGAUAAAUUCUACACCUUCCUUUAGCAAAGUCCUUUCAUACAGUUUUAAAUCAUAUCCUAAUACGCUAUUUUUUUACAGUGCCUUUGUUUUAAGUUACUAAGAGAAUGAUUUAAAGUUUAAUACAUGAUGUUCCAGAUUUUAGAUGUGUAAGGGCCUAAUAAAUUCUUACAUAAUACC